AACGUAGGAGACUAGCGUUAUCCGGAUUUACUGGGCGUAAAGCGUGUGCAGGCGGUUCGGCAAGUUGGAUGUGAAAUCUCCCGGCUCAACUGGGAGGGGUCGUUCAAUACUACCGAACUUGAGGGCAUCAGAGGAAGGUGGAAUUCCGGGUGUAGUGGUGAAAUGCGUAGAUAUCCGGAGGAACACCAGUGGCGAAGGCGGCCUUCUGGGAUGCUCCUGACGCUCAGACACGAAAGCUAGGGGAGCGAACAGG
rnacentral:rRNA from 1 species